CCUCUCCACAACUGAUUUCCAUCACCAUCAUCACCUUCACAUCUCCAUCUUCUUCCACUAAAAGCUCUCUUGCAAGUUGUGAAGAUCCUCCAUAGAAGUGUGAAGUUGGAGUGCUCUCAAGAAGCCUUGUUCAAGCUUUUCUCACCAUCAUUCUUUAUCAUCUCAUCCUAAGAUUUCAACCCUAGCCUUGUGCUAGUACAUGGACACCUCUAUUUACAGAGGAGACUCUGCCGAAAUUUUCCGAGAAUCCGAACACUUAGUAGUCGUGUUUGCUGAGGAGAUUUGGGUUACGAGUACCGAAGACGCAAUACUGUGA
rnacentral:lncRNA from 1 species